CAUACCGCGUGUGUGAAGAAGGCCUGAGGGUUGUAAGCACUUUCAAUAGGAAGGAAUACCUAUCGGUUAAUACCCGGUAGACUGACAUUACCUAUACAAGAAGCACCGGCUAACUCCGUGCCAGCAGCCGCGGUAAUACGGAGGGUGCAAGCGUUAAUCGGAAUUACUGGGCGUAAAGCGUGCGUAGGCGGUUAUUUAAGUCAGAUGUGAAAGCCCCGGGCUUAGCCUGGGAACUGCAUUUGAUACUGGAUAACUAGAGUUUAGUAGAGGGGAGUGGAAUUUCAGGUGUAGCGGUGAAAUGCGUAGAGAUCUGAAGGAACACCAGUGGCGAAGGCGGCUUCCUGGACUAAAACUGACGCUGAGGUACGAAAGCGUGGGUAGCAAACAGGAUUAGAUACCCUGGUAGUCCACGCCGUAAACGAUGUCAACUAACCGUUGGGUUCUUUAAGAACUUAGUGGUGGAGCUAACGUAUUAAGUUGACCGCCUGGGGAGUACGGCCGCAAGGCUAAAACUCAAAUGAAUUGACGGGGGCCCGCACAAGCGGUGGAGCAUGUGGUUUAAUUCGAUGCAACGCGAAGAACCUUACCUACCCUUGACAUGUAGUGAACUUUCCAGAGAUGGAUUGGUGCCUUCGGGAACACUAACACAGGUGCUGCAUGGCUGUCGUCAGCUCGUGUCGUGAG
rnacentral:rRNA from 1 species